GAUGAACGCUGGCGGCGUGCCUAAUACAUGCAAGUCGAGCGAACAGACGAGAAGCUUGCUUCUCUGAUGUUAGCGGCGGACGGGUGAGUAACACGUGGAUAACCUACCUAUAAGACUGGGAUAACUUCGGGAAACCGUAGCUAAUACCGGAUAAUAUUUUGAACCGCAUGGUUCAAAAGUGAAAGACGGUUUUGCUGUCACUUAUAGAUGGAUCCGCGCUGCAUUAGCUAGUUGGUAAGGUAACGGCUUACCAAGGCAACGAUGCAUAGCCGACCUGAGAGGGUGAUCGGCCACACUGGAACUGAGACACGGUCCAGACUCCUACGGGAGGCAGCAGUAGGGAAUCUUCCGCAAUGGGCGAAAGCCUGACGGAGCAACGCCGCGUGAGUGAUGAAGGUCUUCGGAUCGUAAAACUCUGUUAUUAGGGAAGAACAUAUGUGUAAGUAACUGUGCACAUCUUGACGGUACCUAAUCAGAAAGCCACGGCUAACUACGUG
rnacentral:rRNA from 1 species